CGUAGGGUGCGAGCGUUAAUCGGAAUUACUGGGCGUAGAGCGUGCGCAGGCGGUUCGCUGUGUCCUGUGUGAAAGCCCCGGGCUCAACCUGGGAAUGGCAUGGGAAACUGGCGGGCUGGAGUGUGGCAGAGGGGGUGGAAUUCCGCGUGUAGCAGUGAAAUGCGUAGAGAUGCGGAGGAACACCGAUGGCGAAGGCAGCCCCCUGGGCCAACACUGACGCUCAGGCACGAAAGCGUGGGGAGCAAACAGGAUUAGAUACCCUGGUAGUCCACGCCCUAAACGAUGUCGACUAGGUGUUGGGGAAGCGAUUCCUUGGUACCGUAGCUAACGCGUGAAGUCGACCGCCUGGGGAGUACGGCCGCAAGGUUA
rnacentral:rRNA from 1 species